rnacentral:rRNA from 1 species
UACGGAGGGGGCGAGCGUUGUCCGAAGUUACUGGGCGUAAAGCGCGCGUAGGCGGGUGGGUAAGUCCGCUGUGAAAGCCCGGAGCUUAACUCCGGAGGGUCGGUGGAUACUGCCCAUCUUGAAGGUGGCUAGGGGGAGAUGGAAUUACCGGUGUAGCGGAUGAAAUGCGUAGAGAUCGGUAGGAACACCAGUGGCGAAGGCGGCUCACUGGCCCGGUACUGACGCUGAGGUGCGAAAGCGUGGGGAGCAAACAGG